CAGGGAGUCUAAGGAGCAAGGAUUGUGUUCCUAGGGGGCUGCAGGAAGGGGGGAAACAUGGAUCGUGGCAUGACUGAAGGGCUGAGUCAUGAAAAAGACAUUGUAGUUCCUGGGCUGAGAUGGAUCUGCAGGUGAAGGCCGCAGGAAAGGCACCACCCAGGAGAGGGCAUGCUGAUGGCAGAGAUCUAAUCCCUGAGACAACCAGCAGGAGGCACUGCUCUGGAGAACCCUCUUUAUCAGGAUUGGCAAAGAGGGACUUGAAGAAACCAAAUUAUCAGAUGAAAAGAUUCAUUUGAUUCCAAGAACCUGGAACCUCCAGUGCCCCUCUCAACUCUUUCUCUGCUUCUUGCUUCUACAGGUCCCUUUCCCUAGAGCAGUGGUUCCCAAACUUGUUCCACCACUUGUGCAGGGAAAGCCCAUAGCAGGCUUUGUUUACCUGCCAUGUCCGCAGGUUCAGCUGAUCGUGGCUCCCAGUGGCCGCCG